rnacentral:lncRNA from 1 species
GGGCAGCAGAGGCGGUUCCGGCUGCGGCUCUGCGGGCGGGCGGGCGGGCGGGCGGCGAGUUGAGCGGGCCGGGGGGCGGGGAUGCGGAGCCGCCGUCGCCGCCUGAGAACCUGAGCGUCGCCGGGCCCCGCCCGCGCGGUCACCACAGUCUGAACGCGCCGCGCUUCCCGAGCGCGGGCCGGGCCCAGCGCCGGCCGCACCGCGUCUGGGUCCCGGCGGCCCGCCCCCCGCGCGCCGCCUCGCCCGCGCGCUCGGCGCUCAUGCGGGCCGAGCCCCGCCCCCCGGCCCGAGCCCGCCGAGCGCCCCCCGAGCCAGCGCGCGCCGUCCGCCCGCACCAUGCUCAAGUGCAUCCCGCUGUGGCGCUGCAACCGGCACGUGGAGUCGGUGGACAAGCGGCACUGCUCCCUGCAGGCUGUGCCCGAGGAGAUCUACCGCUACAGCCGCAGCCUGGAGGAACUGCUGCUCGACGCUAACCAGCUGCGCGAGCUGCCCAAGGUGAGCGGCCGCCGCACCUGCCAUCCUGACGCCCGAGGCGCGGCGCCCGGCGGACUGGACGGGUACUGUCCCGCUGCGGCUGCCGGCUGGAGCGAGACCUCGGCGGACGCUGCCGGGCGGGGCACCGAGCUGCAAGCCGGCCCAGCUGGUUCUUACUGGCCAGAGCCCCGCCCCGGUCGGCCACCCCCACCCCCAUCGCCUGUGCUAGCACCAGGUGGCCGCGGUCCUUGGGUCCGUGCCUGGGGAUGGAGUCGAAGAGCUGCUGAAUGAAACCCGUGCACGGGGGCGAGGGAGGGAGAUGGGACCAGGGUAGAAGGUGGACCUGGCGUGGCAGUGGAUACAACUUGCUGGGCUGCGCUGAAGGUGGGGUCCUGGAAUUCUCCCUGCACUGGCGCCUUUCCCUUUGGGUGCGGGCUGGGUGGGGCCUCCUAGAGUGCCCAGCCUGUCAGGUUUGUUCUCUGCAACCUCGCUGUGGGGUCAACUCUCGUGUCCCACGGUUCUUCCCGUCAGCUUGUUUUUCUUCUAGGGUCUUCCCAAAAUCCCUAGAAAGGAGCCAAGGGAAAGCAGAUCACGAAAGAUUUCCUUUUCAGGAACACGGGUCUAAAUGAUCUGUUGUUCAGGGGUUGGGUGCCAUGGAGGGUGUGGCUUUGCUCUGGGCAGUUCUGUGUUUCGUGGUCACCAACAGAACUUGUCUGUGUGUCCUGUGAUUCCUGUGUAUGGCAUUGAAUGUUUUGUGGUAGUUCGCUGUUUUUAGGGGUUUUUUCCCCCCCUCUCUUUUUGUGGGUUUUGUUGAGCUUUUAUUGAUUAUUGUCAGAAAGCAGCAGUAAGCACCAUUGGGGGGGUCCCUCGGUGACUGAUCUGUGGAUGAAAGAAGUUUUUAGGGUGGUGGUUGGAGGUCUGAGGGUCACUCUGGGCAGCUUCUCAGCUGGGCCAGUUACGUGAGAGAUGCAACAGAUAUGGAGGCUCCUGUGAGGUGAUCAGGGGACGAGAUGUCAAGUGGGAAAUGGAGUCUGACCAGGGCCGGGUGCUGUCUGUUUCCCUGUUUUCCUCUCAGCAACUGGGGCACCAUGGCUAGAUCCCUGUACCUUGUGACCUGGGGCAGGAAGAGUUUUAGAGACCUGGGACUUUCUAAGUGUUCGGGAGCCCUUUUCUUUUCUUCUUUUUUCUUUUUUUUAAAUACUCAACUUCUAGGUAGAUACAACAUCUUUAUUUUACAUUUAUGUGGUGCUGACGAUUGAACCCAGUGCCUUGUGCAUGCUAGGCGAGCGCUCUACCACCGAGCCACAACUCCAGGCCCCUCAGGAGCCCUUUUCUGUCCUCGGGGGUUGCAGCUGUGGAACCAUUCCCUGACUGAACCCCCUACUCACAGCCCUUCUUCCGGCUGCUGAACCUGCGCAAGCUGGGCCUCAGUGACAACGAGAUUCAACGGCUGCCUCCUGAAGUGGCCAACUUUAUGCAGCUGGUGGAGCUGGACGUGUCCCGUAAUGGUAGGUGGGCAAUACAGGGUGAGACAAGGAGGUCCUGGCAGCUGUAGGCAUCUCUCUAUGGUGACCUUCCCACAGAUAUUCCUGAAAUACCUGAGAGCAUCAAGUUUUGCAAAGCCCUAGAGAUUGCAGACUUCAGUGGGAAUCCUCUGUCCAGGUGAAUUCAGUGGUGGGGGUCAGUGUGACUGUGGCAGUCUUGCAGCCCUGCUCUGAGUAUCUGAGGUCCUCUGCUUUCACCUUCCUCUGCCAGACUCCCUGAUGGCUUCACACAGCUGCGCAGCCUGGCUCACCUGGCCCUGAAUGACGUGUCCCUACAGGCACUGCCCGGGGAUGUGGGCAAGUGAGUGCUGCUUGUGAACUGGUCUGGGGGAGGAUCAGCUUGGCCUUGCCUCCCUCAGUCUCAGCCCUGGUCUCUCUCUCAGUCUGGCCAACCUAGUGACCCUGGAGCUCCGGGAGAACCUGCUCAAGUCUUUGCCUGCGUGAGUGUGCUGGGCCUCCACCUUGCAUGGGCGGAGCGAUGCUGGGCCUGGGCCUUGAGACCACACCAAGACUGUCUCUUGUGCAGGUCCCUGUCUUUUCUGGUCAAGCUGGAACAGCUGGAUCUGGGAGGCAACGACCUAGAAGUGUUGGUAUGGUGGGAGCCAUUGGGUGGGGCACAGGGGUGUAAGACAGUUACUCCUGCUGGGCAAAGCAGAGUAUCUCUGUGGCCACACCGGGUUCUCCUGUCCUUAUCCCUUCUUUUAGCCGGACACUCUGGGAGCUCUGCCCAACCUGCGGGAGCUGUGGCUGGACCGGAACCAACUGUCAGCACUGCCCCCGGUGAGUGAGGGCAGGACUGGCCUCCUACCUCCAGCUGCUGUCCCCUGACCCUGUGCCUGCCCUUAGGAGCUCGGGAACCUAAGGCGUUUGGUGUGUCUGGAUGUGUCUGAGAACCGGCUAGAGGAGCUGCCGGUAGAGCUGGGGGGUCUGGCACUUCUCACAGACCUGCUGCUGUCCCAGAACCUGCUGCAGCGGCUUCCUGAUGGCAUUGGUCAGUGCACCCAGGGGGGCCUAGGGGUUGCAUGCCCUGGUCAGGCGGCCCCACAAGCUGUCAGCAAAGGUACUGGUGGGCAUUAGAUGAGGGUUCUUAUGUCAUCCAAGCUGGAAGCAUCUCAAGGAAGGGAACUGAGGCCAAGACUCAAGUUGGGUCCUGAGACAUCUAGGUAUCAGCCUACAGGGGCAGGGUAGUUCACGUGGCAGAGUGGGUUCAGGUCUUAUGAACAUGGAUAGCGGGCAUAGUGUUUUCCCAGAAGAAGUCAGGUGGGCAGGGCUGUUUCAGGUCUGUAGUGGAGAAGACGGGAGGGCGAGCACAGGUCUGCUGCAGCUCAGGGUUCUCGGGGUCCUCUCAGGAGCCAUGGGAUCUGGCUGUAGCCAUGCAGAAAGCUGGUCUCUACUGGAGGGUUGGGUCAAGUGUUCAGAUUUGCCCUUGGCCCCACUCAGCCUGAUCACUGUGUUUCCCUGACACCAGGUCAGCUGAAGCAGCUGUCUAUCCUGAAAGUGGACCAGAAUCGCCUGUGUGAGGUGACUGAGGCCAUUGGUGACUGUGAGAACCUCUCUGAGCUGAUCCUCACAGAGAAUCUGCUAACGGUAGGCAACCCUGGCUACCAGGCAGAGAGGUGCUCAGUUCCUAAGUUGUCCUCAGCGUCAUCUUGAGACGAUGGGGCCUGGAGUGUGUAG